rnacentral:lncRNA from 1 species
UAUUUUUUCUACAGAAAUAAGGCUUGGAAAAAAGCUGCUUCUACAGUGCUGACGAAAUAAACAUAAUACAUUUUUUUUGCCAGUUUUUUCUUCUAAACUGGCUCGAUGAUAUUGUUUCAGAUGUGGCUGUGGGUGCCUGUGCUGGGAGCAACCUGUGUGUGUUGCUCAAGUGCUUGAUCCGGCAAAGGUCAAGCUUGGUGCAAGUCUAGUAGCAAAAAGGCCAAAUACAUGAGAUGUGAGAUGCUGAGGCAGAAGAGUUCUGUUGGAUGGACUAAUUAACAGCCUUGGCCGGAAGAUCAUUACA